AACGAACGCUGGCGGCAUGCCUAACACAUGCAAGUCGAACGAGACCUUCGGGUCUAGUGGCGCACGGGUGCGUAACGCGUGGGAACCUGCCCUUAGGUUCGGAAUAACUCCCCGAAAGGGGUGCUAAUACCGGAUAAUGUCUUCGGACCAAAGAUUUAUCGCCUUUGGAUGGGCCCGCGUUGGAUUAGCUGGUUGGUAGGGUAAAAGCCUACCAAGGCGACGAUCCAUAGCUGGUCUGAGAGGAUGAUUAGCCACACUGGGACUGAGACACGGCCCAGACUCCUACGGGAGGCAGCAGUGGGGAAUAUUGGACAAGGGGCGAAAGCCUGAUACAGCAAUGCCGCGGGAGUGAUGAAGGCCUUAGGGUUGUAAAGCUCUUUUACCCGGGAUGAUAAUGACAGUACCGGGAGAAUAAGCGCCGGCUAACUCCGUG
rnacentral:rRNA from 1 species